CAGUCGCCGAGGUAAUACGUAGGGUGCGAGCGUUAAUCGGAAUUACUGGGCGUAAAGCGUGCGCAGGCGGUUGUGUAAGACAGGUGUGAAAUCCCCGGUCUUAACCUGGGAACUGCGCUUGUGACUGCACAGCUAGAGUAUGGCAGAGGGGGGUGGAAUUCCACGUGUAGCAGUGAAAUGCGUAGAGAUGUGGAGGAACACCGAUGGCGAAGGCAGCCCCCUGGGCCAAUACUGACGCUCAUGCACGAAAGCGUGGGGAGCAAACAGGAUUAGAUACCCGAGUAGUCCCUGUCUCUUAUAC
rnacentral:rRNA from 1 species